ensembl:miRNA dre-mir-190a microRNA 190a
GUCUGAUAUGUUUGGUAUAUAUGGUUGUGUGUCAUUUACCAACUGUAUAUCAAACAUAUGGUCACAGU